AAUGGGUCAGCGACUUAUAUUCUGUAGCAAGGUUAACCGAAUAGGGGAGCCGAAGGGAAACCGAGUCUUAACUGGGCGUUAAGUUGCAGGGUAUAGACCCGAAACCCGGUGAUCUAGCCAUGGGCAGGUUGAAGGUUGGGUAACACUAACUGGAGGACCGAACCGACUAAUGUUGAAAAAUUAGCGGAUGACUUGUGGCUGGGGGUGAAAGGCCAAUCAAACCGGGAGAUAGCUGGUUCUCCCCGAAAGCUAUUUAGGUAGCGCCUCGUGAAUUCAUCUCCGGGGGUAGAGCACUGUUUCGGCAAGGGGGUCAUCCCGACUUACCAACCCGAUGCAAACUGCGAAUACCGGAGAAUGUUAUCACGGGAGACACACGGCGGGUGCUAACGUCCGUCGUGAAGAGGGAAACAACCCAGACCGCCAGCUAAGGUCCCAAAGUCAUGGUUAAGUGGGAAACGAU
rnacentral:rRNA from 1 species